rnacentral:rRNA from 1 species
AACGAACGCUGGCGGCAUGCCUAACACAUGCAAGUCGAACGCGAUCCAAGGGGCUUGCUCCUUGGUGAGAGUGGCGCACGGGUGAGUAACGCGUGGAUAACGUACCUAUUGGUUCAGGAUAACCUGCGGAAACGCGGGCUAAUACUGGAUAAGUUCACAGAGAGUUCGCUCUUUGUGAAGAAAGCGGGGCGACUCGCGCCGAAUGAACGGUCCGCGUCCCAUCAGCUAGUUGGCGGGGUAAUGGCCCACCAAGGCUACGACGGGUAACUGGUCUGAGAGGACGACCAGUCACACUGGGACUGAGACACGGCCCAGACUCCUACGGGAGGCAGCAGUGGGGAAUAUUGGUCAAUGGGCGAAAGCCUGAACCAGCAAUGCCGCGUGAGUGAUGAAGG